CCUACGGGUGGCAGCAGUGGGGAAUAUUGGACAAUGGGGGGAACCCUGAUCCUGCCAUGCCGCGUGUGUGAAGAAGGCCCUCGGGUUGUAAAGCACUUUCAGUGAGGAAGAACGCCUGGUGGUUAAUACCCAUCAGGAAAGACAUCACUCACAGAAGAAGCACCGGCUAACUCCGUGCCAGCAGCCGCGGUAAUACGGAGGGUGCGAGCGUUAAUCGGAAUUACUGGGCGUAAAGCGCGCGUAGGUGGCUUGAUAAGCCGGUUGUGAAAGCCCCGGGCUCAACCUGGGAACGGCAUCCGGAACUGUCAAGCUAGAGUGCAGGAGAGGAAGGUAGAAUUCCCGGUGUAGCGGUGAAAUGCGUAGAGAUCGGGAGGAAUACCAGUGGCGAAGGCGGCCUUCUGGACUGACACUGACACUGAGGUGCGAAAGCGUGGGUAGCAAACGGGAUUAGAUACCCGUGUAGUC
rnacentral:rRNA from 1 species